GGCCCGUAUCUAUCGCGGCAACCAGUCCAUUCGCGGUGACGGUGACGAACAGAUCGUUACUUGCCGCUCCGUACCACGUUUUCAUCCAACCGUCGACGAUCGAUUUCCAUCUGUGGAUCCCCGUCCUGCGACGGAGUAUCACCGGAAACUGCCACUCGCAUUCGUACCAUCGAACCAAUACGUUUUCUCAAUUAUAAUCUAUAUCAUUGCACCAUUCUCCAUUGUGCCUUCAACGAAAAGCAAAAGAAAAAAUUAAAGAACUGGGACCAAAAAGGGAAAAACUUGUAUGCAAGUGUACAACAGCUUUGGUUAGUCUCGAAGUCUGCAAUGAAUAAUUUGGAAACAAUUAUCAUUUACUCUGUCAAUGUUCACUGUGCCUUUAAAUGAAAAUAGUAGAAUCAUAGACACCACGAAGGAAACUCUUAUGUUGAACAAGUAGAAAAAGAAGUUUGUUUUUGUUUUAUCGUAUAGUCUUGAGUAAUUUGUAAGCAAUUAGUAACUACGAUUAUUAUAUUAUUAUUCAGUCUGAAUUUGAAGAAAACACUUAUCUAGUGGUACAAUUAGAAAAAGAAGUUUGCUUUUGUUUUAAAGUCUAUGAUAUAAUCUCUAGUAAUUUGGAAGCAAUUAGUAGUACCAUUAAUAUAUCGUUAUCAAUUCUCAAUUUGAAGAUAAGACUUCUUUAAUGGUACAAUUAGAAAGAGAGGUUUGUGUUUGUUUGUAAGUUUAUCAUAUAAUCUUCAGUAAUUUGUGAGGACUUCAUAUUAAGAUUAACAUGUCAUUGUUCAUUUCAAAUUUGAAGUAAAGUAUGGAGGAAUAAGUGGCACGAGUGUGCAAAGACUUGGUUUAGCUACGACGCGGCCUACCGCGAAGUCUUAGAUAAUCUGAAUUAUCUUGUGUGCGCUAUGAUAACGUGAACAGAAAAACAGUAUUCGGCUAUUAAACGGAGAGGGACAUCGUGUGAAUUUUAUGAUACCGGAGUGUGAUAGUUCCGUUUCACGGUGAAUUUUGUAUUUGUGAAGCAAGAAUAGAACCGCGCGAUCCAGGGGGCGGGUUUCGGUUUUGGCGCGUCGCGGCCGUUAGUUAAAGAGGAAACCGGAUGUAUCGACGGCGUCGCGGAUGGCCACCGACCGCAAUGACGGAUGAUUCGUGAAAGGAAUUAACGCGGCCUCGGAGGUUGAUCAAAGUCGAAUGAAUCACACGCAAAGAAGCAGAGAUUCGUCGCCGUUGAAAUGGACAAUACAGUCUUCUAUUUGUACCGUUUUGCGAGAAACGCCACCGAAAGCGCAAUCAUCGAUGGCGAUAUAUCGAGAUUUCCAAAGCCGCUACGGACAUUCGCGGCGGUGGUUGCCAUUUUGAUAAUGAUCGUCGGCCUCGCCGGAAAUCUGCUGACCAUCAUCGCUCUCUGCAAGUAUCCCAAAGUUCGCAAUGUCGCGGCAGCAUUUAUUAUAAGUUUAUGUGUGGCAGACUUUGUGUUCUGUCUACUGGUAUUGCCAUUCGAUUCAAUUCGGUUCGUCAACGCUAGCUGGGCGGAAGUGCGGUUUCUGUGUGUCCUUGUGCCUUUUCUGAGAUAUGGAAACGUUGGCGUUAGCCUCCUCUCUGUCGCAGUCAUAACCAUCAAUAGGUACAUCAUGAUAGCUCACCACGGCUUGUACAGCAAAGUGUACAAAAAGUACUGGAUCGCUUUCAUGAUCGUGUUUUGUUGGAUCUUCUCUUACGGAAUGCAAGUACCCACUCUCUUAGGAAUUUGGGGAAGAUUCGACUACGAUUCAAACCUCGAAACCUGCUCGAUCGUUAAGGACGAAAGAGGUCGCACAUCGAAGACAUUCCUUUUCGUAAUGGGUUUCGUAAUACCAUGCGUGGUGAUCGUUGGAUGUUACACAAAAAUAUUCUGGGUUGUGCACAGAUCCGAGUCGAGGAUGCGGAAACACACGACACCAGCGAUAAAAUCACCUCACACACCUGGAAGGGAUACCAGAGAAAUCAAACAGAAGCGAAGCGAAUGGCGGAUCACGAAGAUGGUACUCGCCAUUUUCCUCAGUUUCGUAGCUUGUUACCUUCCAAUUACAAUCGUCAAAGUAGCCGACGCGGAGGUUAAAUACCCAGGGUUCCACGUGCUGGGCUACCUGCUACUGUACUUCGCGUCCUGCGUGAAUCCAAUAAUUUACGUGAUCAUGAACAAGCAGUACAGGCAAGCUUACGCAGGGGUGAUCGGUUGUUCGCGGAUAAGGGCGGGCCUGACGCCUUACGGGAGCAGCGCACCCGGCCACCAGCACCAACAGGACUAUGGCCAAGGUAACUUCGAGCAACGUCGAGUGGUAACGCUCACCAAGCUCUGACCGAACGCGAGCUAAGCGACCACACUUCGCUCCACACUUCGCUCCACACUUACUUCACUACUCGAAGGACUUUAGCAAGACGAUGGUGUCCACUGUCUCCAUUGCAAUGAAUCCUGUGAGGAAUCCUCAUUUCGAAGAGGACUCGUGAAUUUAGGACUGAACUGCGCGUAAAAAGAAGAAAAAGUAAUAUAAACGUAUUUAGGGUAAACCGAAAAUAAAUGACCAAUUUUCUUUAACAGAACUAUUUCAUCAUAAGUGUCAUUAACUCUCUGCGAAAUUUUUCAAACUUUUAAAAACUCUUUUCAUAGAAAUUUAAUUAUGUAUCGAAAUCUUAAAUAUUAGAAAAAGUAGAAUCACGUAUAUAUCAGUCUUUCAUUAUUUGAAUAAUUAAAUUACUCAUUCGCAGCUAUUGAUUUUACAUAUGACAGCUCGAAGUCAUUAUUAUGGUGAAAUUUGACUGUAAAGGGUUGAUACCUAAGAAAAAUAUAUACAAGGUAAGUCGUUAAACUGUGCCAUCUGAAUUUACUUAUAAACCGUUUAUUACAUAAAGAAAAUGUUCUAAAUGAAAGUUAUUCAGUAUCAAUCAAACCAACCGUGUUUUGUCUACUAUAAUUUCAACUCUUGCCACACAACUUCUGUCUGGAACAUUUUUUACCUAAGAAAUAAAUUUUGAUGGCAUGAUUGAACGAUUUACUCUGUAUAUAUAUUUAUGAAAGGAAUUAAAUAUAAGAUGAAUAGUUAAAUUCUUCUCUAUGCAAAAUUCAGUAUAGCAUUAAAAGCAAUUGAAAGUAUAGAUAUUUGACAAUUUAAAUGAGAUCUAGUCAUCUCACUUGGAAUUGGCCUACGCAGCUGAAAAUAUUUGAUCAGCUAUAAUAUUAACGAUACAAAGAAAAAAGAGAAGUAAAUAAAUAAAAAAAAUAUUAAUUCACUAGAACAACCAAAUUUACAUCAAAGGUGUAAUCGAAUAUUUUUGAGUGGCAGUGUAAAUAUUACCUAAGUAUUACUGUACACCUAAUGUUUCAUAAGAAGAUAUUUUUAUAAGAAAUAUAAAUGAGAACUUCUUACAUCACACGUAGUUAAUAAUAUGUAUUACAAGUAUACUUUACCUGAAAGGCAUUAUGAAACUAGUAGAAUUAGAUUAUGUAAUAUUUUGAAAGGGACCAGCAAAGUGAUAGAGUUUUGCAAACAAUUUACAGAAUUGAUUCUACAGAAAUGUCCCAUGCAUUGUGAAACAUCUUAUAUACAAUGUAAGAAAUAGACUGCGAAUGUUUAAGCAAUUCCACAUUCUUACCAACUAAUUUAUAACAAUUAGAAUUAAGUAGUAAUUUAUUUUUUUUGCAAUGGACUUCGUUGUGUUCUAAACACAAUGGAAACGUUAGACGCCUCUAGAGUUUCCUGUUUUAUUGUUGUGACACGCUGGUUUAGAUGUACUUUACAUGCAGAAGAUUCGCAGUCUAUUGUUGAGCAUAUAAAAAGAAAAAUAUUCCGCGAGAUUGAGCAAGGAAAACGUGAGAAAUGGAAGAUGACAAUAAUGUCGGUUUCGAUAAGAAACGAAAAAUAUAGACUGUAAAUAAUAUAUAUUUUAAACGGGGUGUCACUUGCAUCAGGAUCGAUCUUGAUCUUUGAAACACGCGAAGAAGAAGUAAAUAUUCAAGAAUAAAAUUAAUUGUUUUAAGUAUAUAAAGAAAACUUCAUUUUAUACUUGGAAAUGUAAAUAAUAUUUUGUAAACUUUAAAUUACAUUCUUUUAACUUAGGGAUUCCAUAGACUUUUGAACUAAUUACUUUUUUCAGAAGAUAAAUAGAUUGUCUUAUUUCUUGGUAUUUACACUUUGCUUUGUUUUAAGAAUAUAAAAUGGUUCGAUUGCAAAGAACCCUCCACACCCAGUUUCAAAGAUUGUGUACUCAGGGUGAGUUUAAAGGAAUGUUGUAAAACACAGUAUUAUUUAGUAACAAGUCCUGAUAAUCUCGAAUCAACGAACGUUCACUUUCUGUGAUACAGAUUUUUAUUUUACAGAAGUUCUAUCUUGGCAGCGUUUUCAAUAUUUACACGUCAUUUUCGACUGCACUUAAAGAUUCUCUGUGUAUCUUAAUAAUCUUAUAAUCAAUGUUGGAACUUUUCCUUCGAGGUACAUUAGUGUUGAUAUUAAGAACAAAAAUAUUUUAACUCUCAAAAUAUUGGAAUUAUUGUAUAAAAAUUCUUUUAUAUGAUUUAGUAAAAUUUACAAAGAUUUAUCAUAAUUUAUAAUAAGUUUUGAAACACUUGUUUUGUAAUUGCUCAGUGAUAUUUAUACAAAUAAGGGUUCUCCUAUUUCAAAAAUCUCGAAUACCUUGAUUUCUUGAAAAUUUGUUCUUUUAAAUAAAAUUUCAAUUAACGAAUUUUGUAACGGACUAUUAGACUCACUUGGUGUAUUGUGUAAGUCAUCGAAGUCAUUGUGAAAAUCAAAAAAGAAAUGAAUGAAAAUAAAACGUAAAAACAGCAGUGCUGUUCGCGUAUCUAUUAAUUAUAUAAAAAUAGCUAUAGUUUUGUAAGAUAGAGAGUAAAAUAAGUUAUUCUUUGCGUAAGCGAAAUGUUAAUAGAAGCACAACGAACGCCAUAUUUUAUCUACGAGACGCAAGUGUCGAACUUUUACCAAAGGUUGCACACAAAUAUAUUUGUACAUAAAAGCACUCAUUAAUUUCUAUAAAUAUAAUGUAAAAAUAAAAAAUAUAUAUAUAUAUACAUACUUUAUAAACAUUCAUGAUUUUAUGUUAGAAAAUUAUAUUUAUUCCUUUUGGAUAAACCAAAACCGAGAAUUAUGUAAAAUUUUAUCG